UGGUACGCUGCUCGCUGGCCUCCCAGUCUUCCCAGCAACCGGUGACACUGCCCGCGCGAGACUGACCACUAGCCGACGCGGGCGAGAGGGACAGGAGCGUGACCUCCCCAUCCCGAGGGGCCGGACGCUCGGGCGCCUCCCCGCUCCCCCCACUCGGAGGCCGCGCGCGCCGUUAGCCCCUUCCUCGCUCCCCCGCCCCAGUCCCGCAGUCCGGGAGGCGGGGGUCGGCAGCCGGCUGAGUGGGAACCGCGCGGUGUCUGAGGAGGCAGUCGGCGACCGGUUUCCGCUUCAAGCAUGACCCUUUUGCCUGUGGGAUGAGCUCCAGCAUGGGGUGAGGUACAGAAGAGAGACUUGAAGAGCGUGCCUUGGGACUCAAGCGCCAAACCUGUACCCUAGCGAGUGUCCUACUCCGCAUCCGUAAUGGAAGGAAAUGCACAUCUUACUCCAGAGGCACAACAGGGGGACAUCCCAUGCGGCUACUCCUGCCCAGCGUGGUGGGGCAGCAGAAGCUCCAGAGCCCAGACUUGCAGGUUUGCUGUUUUCACUUUACCCCAUUUGUAUCCAAAAUAUAAGGACCCUGUAUAUGGGGGUAUUUUAACCAAAGUUCUGAGUAUUUAUGAUGAACUUUCAUCUGCUAAGAAGAAAGUGACAGCUGACCAUUUUGUUUGUGUCCUCUCCCGCAUCUGUUGAGCGACAAGGGGCUAUACUGUACUAGCAACUAGACCUAAUCUCCAGUAAGGCUGGAGACUGACCCAUGGCCCCUGAGAGAAGUCGUCAGUGCUGAGGCCAGGUGAGGAGGGCAGCCACAUUGUGCUCUUGACUAGAGGGCAUGUGAGGUUCUGUGCACGUACUACAAAGGCUGACCCUGUUCCUAGACAGCUGCCCGGAGCAACCUGUCAGAAGAAUUCAGGGAUAUCAUGUGAGACAAAUAGGAUAAUAGAGCAGAUUUGGUCUCCGUAAAGGAGUUUUUCUGCUACUCCAGAUUCUCAGAUUCCUGUGGCUGAGACAGUGAGGAAAUGCUGCAGAAUGUU
rnacentral:lncRNA from 1 species